rnacentral:rRNA from 1 species
AAAGUAGGUGUUAAAGAUUAUAAAUUGACUUACUACACCCCAGAGUAUGAAACUAAGGAUACUGAUAUCUUGGCAGCAUUCCAAGUAAGUCCCCAGCCUGGGGUUCCGCCCGAAGAAGUAGGGGCAGUAGCUACCGAAUAUUCUACUGGUACAUGGACAACUGUUUGGAUUGAUGGACUUACCAGUCUUGAUCGUUACAAAGUACGAUGCUAUCACAUCGAGCCUGUUGCUGGGGAAGACAACCAAUGGAUCUGUUAUGUAGCUUAUCCAUUAGACCUAUUUGAAGAGGAUUCCGUUACUAACAUGUUUACUUCCAUUGUGGGUAAUGUAUUUGGUUUCAAAGCCCUACGUGCUCUAUGUUUGGAGGAUCUACGAAUUCCCACUACUUAUUCAAAAACUUUCCAAGGCCCUCCUCAUUGUAUCCAGGUUGAAAGAGAUAAGUUGAAAAAAAAUGGUCCUCCUUUAUUGGGAUGUACUAUUAAACCAAAAUUGAGAUUAUCAGCAAAAAAUUAUGGUACAUCGUGUUAUGAGUAUCUACUUGGUGGACUUGAUUUUACCAAAGAUGAUGAAAACGUAAACUCACAACCAUUUAUGCACCGGAGAGACCGUUUUGUCCUCCCAUGGUGA